rnacentral:rRNA from 1 species
GGAGGAAAAGAAACCAACAGGGAUUGCCCUAGUAACGGCGAGUGAAGCGGCAACAGCUCAAAUUUGAAAGCUGGCUCCGGCCCGCAUUGUAAUUUGCAGAGGAUGCUUCUGGUGAGGUGCCUUCCGAGUUCCCUGGAACGGGACGCCAUAGAGGGUGAGAGCCCCGUAUGGAUGGACACCAAACCUGUGUGAAGCUCCUUCAACGAGUCGAGUAGUUUGGGAAUGCUGCUCUAAAUGGGAGGUAAAUCUCUUCUAAAGCUAAAUACCGGCCAGAGACCGAUAGCGCACAAGUAGAGUGAUCGAAAGAUGAAAAGCACCUUGAAAAGGGGGUUAAACAGUACGUGAAAUUGUUGAAAGGGAAGCGCUUGUGACCAGACUUGCGCCGGGCAGCUCAUCAGGGGUUCUCCCCUGUGCACUCUGCCCGGCUCAGGCCAGCAUCGGUUCUCGUGGGAGGAUAAGAACGGUUGGAACGUGGCCCCCCUCCGGGGGGGUGUUAUAGCCUACCGUACGAUACUCCCGUGGGGACCGAGGUUCGCGCUCCGCAAGGAUGCUGGCGUAAUGGUCAUCAGCGACCCGUCUUGAAACACGGACCAAGGAGUCGUCCAUUAGAGCGAGCGUUUGGGUGUAAAACCCGCACGCGUAAUGAAAGUGAACGCAGGUGAGAGCUUCGGCGCAUCAUCGACCGAUCCUGAUGUCUUCGGAUGGAUUUGAGUAAGAGUUUUAACGGACGGACCCGAAAGACAGUGAACUAUGCUUGUAUAGGGUGAAGCCAGAGGAAACUCUGGUGGAGGCUCGCAGCGGUUCUGACGUGCAAAUCGAUCGUCAAAUAUGAGCAUGGGGGCGAAAGACUAAUCGAACUGUCUAGUAGCUGGUUACCGC